UAAAUAGUUCGAAUAAAUUAACUUUAGAACAUACAUAGUCCUCGAUCAAUUUACAUGUUCAAAGUUUAAACAAAAAUUACAAAAGAUCGGGGUGUGGAAGUCAUCCAAUGUGGCCAAGAGGAGGGUCGAGGUUGCUGAUGUCGAUCUCAACGUCGUCCUCAAGACCAUCCUCCUCAUCUCCGCCCGAUUCUCCUCCAUCUUUCGAACCCGAGAGCUCCAAUGUAUCAGCAAUGGAAGGCACUGUCUUCAGGUCGUCCGGAGUGACGUCGGGCAACUUCUGACGGAGGAAGGCCCGGGCUUCUUUCAGAGCAUGGAAGUACGCCCCCGACGCGUACUCCCCUUUUAUCUUGUCAUAGUCCUCGGAGGUUUUAAACUCCUCCCAGGCCCUCUCCCUGACAGCCGCGAGCUCGCGCCCAAAAUCCUCUGUCUUCUAGA
rnacentral:lncRNA from 1 species